AUCCAUGACCACUAGAAAUGGAUUCAGAGUGUUCCGGAGACUGCCUCCAUUUGGGUCAGCCAAGAAGCCCUGUUUCAUGCGGUGAAACCCACCAGGCAGCGCAACAGAAGGUUAAUUGUUCACCGAAUUCAAACCUGUUCUGUGUCAGAGGAUGAAGUUGUCUCCAUUCCUUUUGAAAUGGUAAUGCAGACAGUGUCAAUUUCCAACACACAUUCAACUCUUCAAGAAAAUAAAGGCCUUGGACUGAAGGAUGAGGCAAGGGUGCAGGUGCUGAAUUUGUGAAAUCAGCUUCUCCAGUUGUAAAGAAAAGCAAAGUUGGACGACAAGGCAGUGCUUUUGUGUGUUGAAGAAUCCCUCCCAGCUUUUUAUGGUAGUGGGACGGCCACUUGCUGACUGGAUGUGAAGGAGUCCGAAGGAGACCGGUGCAGCUCCUUAUGUAGAUCAGGGGAGAAUGAAACAGUGGUGCCAUUACUUUGUCUUCAAAUUCAAGUCAUCCUGAAGGAUUUCUUUGAGCAAGUGCAGCAAGGCCCUGAAGAGUGCCUGGCCAUUGAUUCCUGAAGUCAGCAAGAACUUUUCACAUGAGACCAGCACUACUUCAGCAGUAAUAUGCUGAUGUGAUGGAUUACGAGAAUGGUUUCAGACUUUGGAGUUGGGAGGGCUGCUGAGUGUGUUUGUCAACUUUUGGUGAGUCUGUUCCUUGUUGAGUCUGUGACUGAAUGUACGUGGUGCUACAAAUGUACACAAUUGUCAGCAUUGAAGGUCUUGUUGGCUGGUUAGCUGUAGUGGAAUCUAUCUUGACUCCACGAUGAUUGAAUGAAUGUGAAGGAUCAUCGCAUCACUUUGCAUUUCGAACAGAACAGGCAUUUUCAAUUUGCUCCCACUGUGUGUGGUUGAUGAAUGUACUGGUUAUUCCCUGUGAUAAGUUUGUCAGGCUCAGUUUUCCUGACAACUUAAUCACGGUGAUUCACCUUGGUGGUGCGAGCUGGACAACAGCAGCUUAGAGGGGCAUAAUCCAUGCUGAUAGGUAUCUUAUGCAAAACAUUUCGCCUUUCAGUAUUGUAUCGAAUGAUAUGGUUAUUAAAGUCCUUUCAGUUGUGUGCUCAAAGUAUACAAGGGCCGACUACAGUUCUGGAUGUCUGCUUUCAUCUGAUAUGCCCACCAAGAACUGGAUUUCUCUCUGUCGAGCUGAGAGCUCUACACUGGGCCGGCUCACUGUGAUGAGUUGGGAGCUCUUUUGGGCCGACCUUUUUAAAACCAAACAAUUCACGUUUGGUGGAGGCUGUUUCGUUACAAGUAAUCUUCCUAUUUUGUCACCAUGAUCUGGCAAAGCUGUGU